UAAUGCGCGGUCCUCAGUCCAAACUGGCAACAUCAACAAGGGCUAUAACACUUCCCGAAGAAAGCCACAUUCCAAUGUCAUUAUCUUACCGUUCAAACUGAUGCUGGCCCAGUAAAAAGCGAGAGCACAACCCCGAGAGGAAAUGAUCGCUUAAUACCAAGUCUGACCUCAUGCCCUUCCCUUUCAACAAUUUCACGUACUUUUUCACUCUCUUUUCAAAGUUCUUUUCAUCUUUCCAUCACUGUACUUGUUCGCUAUCGGUCUCUCGCCAAUAUUUAGCUUUAGAUGGAAUUUACCACCCACUUAGAGCUGCAUUCCCAAACAACUCGACUCUUCGAUAGCAUCUUACAUGGAUAUAGGCACCUCAGCACACGGGAUUCUCACCCUCUGUGACGUCCUGUUCCAAGGAACAUAGCCGAAGACUAUAUCCAAGAUUACCAUCUUCAAAUUACAACUCGAACGCCAAAGACGCUAGAUUUCAAAUUUGAGCUUUUACCGCUUCACUCGCCGUUACUAAGGUAAUCCCUGUUGGUUUCUUUUCCUCCGCUUAUUGAUAUGCUUAAGUUCAGCGGGUAAUCCUACCUGAUCCGAGGUCAAACUUUAGAGAGUUCUAAAGCCAGGCUUUAUUUUUAAACUUACUGUAGCCAACGAGUUGGUAAAACCUAAUACGUUGUAAGAAAAGCUCAAAUAGCCUUGCCAAUGCUUUUCGAAUCAUAUGUAUUGCUACAUAAUAAAUUCAACACCAAACCAGAGGGU
rnacentral:rRNA from 1 species